GUGCUUAGAAGAGCGUUUGGCAAAUAAUCAGUCCCCAUUAAAUGUUAGCUGCCCAGCUGGGCGUGGUGGUGUAUGCCUGUAAACAGCAGUUUGAGAGGCCAAGGUGGGAGGAUUACUUAAGCCCAGGAGUUUGAGACCAGCCUGUGUGAGAUUGUCUUUAUAAAAAAAUUUUUUAAAAAUUAGGUGGGCAUGGUGGCAUGCAUCUGUAGUCCUAGCUACUUGGGAGGCUGAGGUGGGAGGAUCACUUGAGCCCAGGAGUUUGAGACUGCAGUGAGGCAUGAUUGUACCACUGCACUCUAGCCUGGGUAAUAAAUCAAGACCAAAAAAAAAAAAAAAAGUUAAUUGCUGCUUGUCUUCUUAUUCAGGAACAGCACUAUUGCAUUGUCUGGUGAAUUUAUUUUGCUUCUAAAACAUGCAUGUAUAUUCAGAUAGCAAUAUGACAGAUGUGGGCACAAAAUACACAUUUAAAAUUAGUUUUGGAUAAAAGUUCUAAGAAUUUUUACUUUUAGCUACUAUAACUUUAAUUUCUGUAAAAAUAGAUUAGCCGUUUACCAAUUUAUUCAGUUAUUUUUUCUAAUAAACUUUAUUGAUACCUGCUAUUUAUUAGGCAUUGUACUAGAUGCUAGGAAUAUAAAGUGGAGCAAACUUAUGGUGAAUUUAUCAUUUUUUUCCUCUAGUAUCCUCCAGCCUGAACUCAACACAACCUAAAACCCAGAAGUGAGCACAAUGGUGCAGACAGAGAGAGAAACAGAACCCUCUAGCUCUGGCUCAAGGCCUGUAAAGGGAACUCCUACAGCUCAGAGAAGAUGAGGGAAAUCCUUUAGGUAUUUUUUUUUUUUUUUUGACAGGAUCUCACUCUGCCGCCCAGGCUAGAAUGCAGUGGCACAAUCACAGCUCGCCACAACCUCAAACUCCUGGGCUCAAGUUAUCCUCCACGCCUCAUCCCCACAAAGUGCUAGGAUUACAGGUGUGAGCCACUGUGCUCAGCAGCUUGGGAAAACUCCAUACUCUCAUGUG
rnacentral:lncRNA from 1 species